GUGGGGAAUCUUAGACAAUGGGGGAAACCCUGAUCUAGCCAUGCCGCGUGAGCGAUGAAGGCCUUAGGGUUGUAAAGCUCUUUCAGCUGGGAAGAUAAUGACGGUACCAGCAGAAGAAGCCCCGGCUAACUCCGUGCCAGCAGCCGCGGUAAUACGGAGGGGGCUAGCGUUGUUCGGAAUUACUGGGCGUAAAGCGCACGUAGGCGGAUCAGAAAGUCAGAGGUGAAAUCCCAGGGCUCAACCUUGGAACUGCCUUUGAAACUCCUGGUCUUGAGGUCGAGAGAGGUGAGUGGAAUUCCGAGUGUAGAGGUGAGAUUCGUAGAUAUUCGGGGGAACACCAGUGGCGAAGGCGGCUCACUGGCUCGAUACUGACGCUGAGGUGCGAAAGCGUGGGGAGCAAACAGGAUUAGAAACCCGAGUAGUCC
rnacentral:rRNA from 1 species